UACGGAGGGUGCAAGCGUUAUCCGGAUUCACUGGGUUUAAAGGGAGCGUAGGUGGGAAUGUAAGUCAGCGGUGAAAUCUCCGGGCUCAACCCGGAAACUGCCAUUGAUACUAUUAGUCUUGAAUGUUGUUGAGGUGGGCGGAACGGGUCAUGUAGCGGUGAAAUGCAUAGAUAUGACCCGGAACACCGAUUGCGAAGGCAGCCCACUAAGCAACUAUUGACGCUGAGGCACGAAAGCGUGGGGAUCAAACAGG
rnacentral:rRNA from 1 species